rnacentral:lncRNA from 1 species
AUAUCCCAAGCUAGAUCUUGGGGGAGGAGCCUGUGCAGGCAAAGGAGAAGUCAGCUCCGGAAGCAGCUGUCAAUCAAGUACAAUCCUUCCAGCGCUAGCAUCUUGGGAGAAGACACUGCUUCCCAAGUCUUUACACCUUUGAGAUGGCACCAGAGACAUCACGCGGGAAUUUGGCUUCCCCCAGCUCUUACUAAAUGGGUAUUCAUUGUGGAAGAUUUGAAAACUCAACAAGUAAAAAGAAGAAAGGAAAACGACGUCAUUAUCCUAACCAUGAAGAGACAACCAUGAAGAGCUCGGUUUAGGGAUUUAAAUACAUAUUUUCCAGAGUUCCUGUCGUGGCUCAGUGGUUAACAAAUCUGACUAGCAUCCAUGAGGAUGCGGGUUGAUUCCUAGCCUCCCUCAGUGGGUUAAGGAUCCAGCAUCGCCGUGAGCUUGGAUCUGGUGUUGCUGUGGCAUAGGCCUGCAACUGUUGCUCCAAUUCGAUCCCUAGCCUGGGAACCUCCAUAUGCCACAGGUGUGGCCCUAAAAAGACAAAAGACAAAAAAAAUUACAUAUUUUCCUCCAUGAUUAAGUCUCUAUUUGUAUUUUGGUCACCUAGGACUUGUGAUAGUGCCCUUUGAUAUACAAAAUUUAAAAAUUUGACAAAGUCCAAAUUAUCUAUUUUUCCUUUCAUCACUUUGGCUUUUGGUGUCAUAUCUAAGAAUCCAUUACCAAAGCCAAGGUCUUAAUGACUUACCCCUAUGUUUUCUUCUUGGAAUUUUAUUGUUUUUUUCACUUACAUUAGGUCUUCGAUCCCUCUUGACUUUAAAGUUUUGUAUAUGCUGGUGAACAAGCCUUGGAAUUUUUUUUUUUUUUAAUGGCUGUACCUGUGGCAUAUGGAAGUUCCCAGGGCAGGGAUUAAAUUUGAGCUGCAGUUGUGACCUACUCCACAGUUGCAGCGAUGCUGGUGCACUGGGCUAGGGAUUGAACCAGCACUGCCACAAAGACAAGCUAUAUUGUUUACGCAUUGUGCCACAGUGGGAACUCCCUGGAAUUUUUUUAAAGCAUCUAUGAUUCUAGUGGAAGUCAAGGUUGAGAAUCGAGGCUCUGAACAGGAGUUCCCGUCCUGGCCCAGUGGA